rnacentral:tRNA from 1 species
GCCUCUGUAGCUCAGUGGCAGAGCACUGGUCUUGUAAACCAGGGGUCGUGAGUUCAAUCCUCACAGGAGUCU